AACAUUUAUAAUGGAAUAAAAAUUAUCAAAUUCCUAGGAAUGAAUCUAAUAAUGCCAUGGACUCUACACUGAAAUAUCUAACAUGAGUAAAAGAAGCAAAGAAGGUGAAUGGGGAAUCAGCCCAUGAGGAUGAACUGAAAACACAGCUGUUUUUUAAAAAACUUGAAGCAGGAACAAAGUAAUGUAUCACAGUGUAACAUCAAACCUCAAGGAUGAGCCAGGUCAAAAACAGUUGAGACAGAACUCCACUCCUCUCCUGCACCUAACAAUAGCCUAAAGGGAUCCUGUGUGCAUGGACAAAACAGAGGCAGAUGAUAGGAUAUUCUACCUAAAAGCAGAUAUUCUACAAAAGCAGAAAGCAAGCUCACUGUCCAUACUGAUCACAGCAAAGCGGCUGGACAAGAAUGCUUGGGUUCUGGAACUCAUCAGGGAAGAGGACCUGAGUUUGGUGCCAAGCACCCACACAGCAGGUCACACACAUUCAUAGCUCCAGGUCCAGGGAAUCUGAGGGCCUCUGCUGGUCUUCUAGGACACCAGACACACAAGUGGCACAGAAUCAAUCGUACAUGUAAGUAAACACCCAUACAAAGAAAAAUAAAAAUGUUAAUAAGCCAUUUUAUAGAUAUCUU
rnacentral:lncRNA from 1 species